UCCUGUUCGAUACAUACAAAUCCAAAUAGAACCCGGACAUUUCUUACAAAUAUAAGUAUGCCGUUUUAGAGUAUAGACAUCACAAGGAUUUUCUUUCAACAGGCAGUUACCGUACAUUGUUCUUCCAGGUCCUGUCGUAUUUCUACAUGACGCUGUCAGCAUGGCACCGAAAGCAAAAGAACGUAAGGCGGCAGUAGCCAAAACAAAUUAUGUUCAUGUGAAGGACGAGUUUGAAAAUGACAACGAUGAAGGAGAGGAUGAGGAAAAAGAGAACGUGUAUGGUGAUAGUCCUCAACCGAACGACGAAUUUAAUUUGGACGAGGUUUUGCGUUUGGGUGGAACCCGAACCUGGAUGAUGACUUGGCUGGUGAUCUGGAUGAGAAGGUGUCCCUAGGCAGUUUGGAUGAGGAGGACUUUGGAGAUGAACUUGGGGAGGAGGGAGGGGCCUUCAUGGACAGCAUUGGAGAGGAUGAUGAGGAAGGUUCACACUUGACUCUAAUUUGUCUUUUAGUUCCAGAACUUGAUAACACUGAUUCAGAUGAGAUGGAGGUUCCACACACAAGGCCAGGUUCUAAAAAGAGGAAGGCAUCAGAGGAUCUUGACUUCAGUGGUUCUUUAGGUUCCAAACCAGGAAAGGAAAGGAGGAAACAGCCAUGUUGGCAUCUGCUGAAGAGUUUGUGUAUAUGUUGGAUGAAAAUGCUGGUUCUAAGUUUGACAACAUUGGCAUGAAUGCUAUGGCCAACAAAGACAAAGCAGGCGUCAGGCAGCUCAAGUGGGAAGCCCAGAGAGACGACUGGGUCCGAGACAUCAAGACCCUAAUGAAGAAGAAGGCCAUGUUUAACAAGAAGAAACAGUUUGGCAAACCAAGGGCUGGCAAAAAUACUUUCAAGAAGAAGUAAUACUUUCUGGACCUAAGAUUACUUAUGUUUGUUUUCACACACCUCUAUUCCUUCUUGGACCAAUCUUCAAGGUCUUUCUCUCGAAUCCCAUAAACUCCAGCAUAUUCGUUGGACUUGUAAUAAACUGGAAAGAGAGUGAUAGUGUCUCUCAGCAUUCAACACAUUUAAUCACAUGAUGGUUCAGUGGGCAACAUGCCCACUGUAGCAAAAUGUUUUGCAACUGUUUCCACUAAUGAAUACACCGGUGUAUUGCCUCAAUCUAACCCUGUUGCCAGUUCCAGGUUGUACUGCCAAUCAUUGGAGAAACUACUAAAUACCUGUGAAAUGAUGUAUUCUCUGUAUAGCUAUUUUAACUCUGUAUUGUAUUUUGUAUAUGUUUAUACAAGAAAUACAAAAUGAAAACAGUAUACUAGGA